UACGGAGGGGGCAAGCGUUAUUCGGAAUUAUUGGGCGUAAAGGGCGCGUAGGCGGCUAGAUGUGUCAAAGGUGAAAUCCCUCGGCUCAACUGAGGAACUGCCUUUGAAACUGUCUGGCUUGAGGCCGGGAGAGGGUAGCGGAAUUCCCAGUGUAGCGGUGAAAUGCGUAGAUAUUGGGAGGAACACCAGUGGCGAAGGCGGCUACCUGGACCGGUUCUGACGCUGAGGCGCGAGAGCGUGGGUAGCAAACAGG
rnacentral:rRNA from 1 species